CGUUCCUUAUUACCACUACCCAGAUGUUUUCCUGUCCUGCAAAUGUAUAAACCCUACAACUAAAGAUCAUCCAUCUGCUCUAACAGCUGCUUAGUGCCUCUUCCAAUCUGAAGCUGGACUGUGGGUUUGAUAAUGAAGGCAGAGUAUUGUAAGCAGAUUAUGAGUCUGAAUAUCUGCAAAACCAAAUCCAAGCAACCUGGAGGCUAAUUGGCCUGAAGACAUCCCUUUGCUAAAGCCCGAAGGCAGGAGAUGCAGUCAGUUAAGCUCUAAUGGGCAAACCCAGGCAACUGCCCUCCCCUGAUUCCUCACAACUGCCAGAUCCAACAUGCCAGAAGCAAAACAAGUACACCAACUGUAUGCGCACUUCAUUCUCAUCAGCAAUGUCCUGUAUGGAACAGAGGAUGGAGUGAGUGGACGCUUUGCCUCGGCAGGGAGAGAUCAGCAACGAGACUCUGCUGAGCCCAGGACCCUGAGAUCUCACUCUAUUAGGCUGCAAUUCCCACUGCAGUGACUAGCGAUGAUUAUUACCA
rnacentral:lncRNA from 1 species